GGAAAAUAUCCAUGACUUUAUUUACUUCUCGGGUUAAAUGAAGAAAUAUGUGGCUCUGUCUCUUUUAUAAUAGUUGUUAAAUUCUUUUGAUUUCAAAGUCCUAGGAAUAUCUGCUGGAGCUAGUAGAGUGGGUGAAUGUAAAAAUUCUUGUUUUAAAACUCUCUAUUUCACUCUAGAGCUGAAUAUUCUGCUCUGUAGGUACAGAAGGAUUCUGGGAUUCUUUUUGAAAUUUGUCAAUCUAUUAUUAACAUCUAAAAUUUUGAUGUUUCCUAGUCCACAACCUAAGAAAAAAAUGAAAAUGGCUUCUCUCACCAAACUCUGUCUUUCCUACAAACCAUGCAGCCCUACAUUUUUAUUAUAGGUGAUUCUUAGCACUAAUGGCCAUACUCUUAACUCUUGGUUGGCGAGUUGUAGUGGCUUAAAAAGAAUUGCCAUCUUUCUGCUUUAUUUCAGGUUGUCUGGUCCAUUUCUUGUUUUAGAGGUUUGUAGUGUUGGGAGAUAACUGAGAGGUUAUCUCGACUGUUUUCCAGUGUCAUACGGAAGGCCUAUCUGUUCUUCUACACUAUGUGGAAAGUAUGUACAGCAGCCUUCACCACAAAGGAAGUUAAAGAUGUAACGUGCAGGGUGAGUAAGUAUUACCGGCAUCAUUUUAUAGACAAAACAGCAGGAACUCACAGCCAAGCAGAUGUCCUAGAAGGACCCAGGGGGACUGCAAGGUUCCUAAUUGCCUCGUUUCAUAGUGUAAGGAGGGUUGUUUUCAUAAAUAUUAUAUAUGGAUGUCACAAAGAAAAACUACUGAGAAUGGAGUCCUCAGCUCCGGUAUUGGCCUGGGGAUCGGUCAGAUUGCAUGGGAUGACAGGAGACAAAAUGGAAGGCCUCUUAAGGACCUUUGGAUGAACCAGCCUCAAAACAUUAUGGACAACCUUGUAUGUGAUGAAACCUAGGGGCAGUGAGGAAGAUGUGCUUCUCCUGUGGCCCCAUCCUUGUUCCAAGGUAUGUUCUCUCAUCUAAGGGAAAGAAUACAAGAAGAAGGUGUGCAUGUAUUAGAACACAUUUCUUUAAGCCCUGGAUGGACAACUAACCUAGUUGGCUUGUUGGAUCACCGAUCAUUUAAUGCUGUCUGAACUUCAACUUUCUGUCAAAGAUGUUUACCUAUUAACUUCGAAAUACAUGAAAAGACCGUAAGUGCUAAGUAAUUUAAACAGAAUGUAAUUGUAUUACAGUGAUCAUGUGAGGGAUUUGUGACUGCUACAAUCAAAACGAGAAUAUUUAUGUCAUGGUUGUAGUUAAGUGUUCAUUUGCUUGUUUACUUAUUUAUUGCCUUUCUCUCCCAGUAGACUGUAAACUCCUGGAGGGCAGGGACCAUGCCUGUUCCAGGGAUCGCUGUA